CACUGCCGAGAAAAGCCUCUAGAUAGAAAAUAGGUGCCCGUACCGCAAACCGACACAGGUAGUCAAGAUGAGAAUUCUAAGGUGAGCGAGCGAACUCUCGUUAAGGAACUCGGCAAAAUGACCCCGUAACUUCGGGAGAAGGGGUGCUCUUUAGGGUUAACGCCCAGAAGAGCCGCAGUGAAUAGGCCCAAGCGACUGUUUAUCAAAAACACAGGUCUCUGCUAAACCGUAAGGUGAUGUAUAGGGGCUGACGCCUGCCCGGUGCUGGAAGGUUAA
rnacentral:rRNA from 1 species